GUGGGGAAUCUUCCGCAAUGGACGAAAGUCUGACGGAGCAACGCCGCGUGAGUGAUGAAGGUCUUCGGAUUGUAAAGCUCUGUUAAUCGGGACGAAAGAGCCUAGUGUGAAUAAUGCUAGGAAGUGACGGUACCGGAAUAGAAAGCCACGGCUAACUACGUGCCAGCAGCCGCGGUAAUACGUAGGUGGCAAGCGUUGUCCGGAAUUAUUGGGCGUAAAGCGCGCGCAGGCGGAUCUGCCAGUCUGUCUUAAAAGUUCGGGGCUUAACCCCGUGAUGGGAUGGAAACUACAGAUCUAGAGUAUCGGAGAGGAAAGUGGAAUUCCUAGUGUAGCGGUGAAAUGCGUAGAUAUUAGGAAGAACACCAGUGGUGAAGGCGACUUUCUGGACGAAAACUGACGCUGAGGCGCGAAAGCCAGGGGAGCGAACGGGAUUAGAAACCCGAGUAGUCC
rnacentral:rRNA from 1 species